rnacentral:rRNA from 1 species
GACGAACCGUGCGAACGUUGUUCGGAAUCACUGGGCUUAAAGGGCGCGUAGGCGGCUCAUCAAGUCCGGGGUGAAAGCCCCCAGCUCAACUGGGGAAGUGCCUCGGAUACUGGUGAGCUCGAGGGAGGUAGGGGCGGAUGGAACUUCCGGUGGAGCGGUGAAAUGCGUUGAUAUCGGAAGGAACGCCGGUGGCGAAAGCGAUCCGCUGGCCCUCUACUGACGCUAAGGCGCGAAAGCCAGGGGAGCAAACGGG